AUAAUAAAAUAUAUUGCAACAAAUUACGAUGCUUAGUAUUUGCAAACAUGAUGGUAAAACAUGUAGAAGUAAACCUAAACAACAAAUAAAGGUGGGUCAAUCAAGUGCAUGAUAUGGAGGACAGGGUGCAUCCCCCUCAUGCGGUACGUACGUACCCCACUUGUUGGUUUAAGGAUCUUCCAAUCUCUUUUCAAUUUUGCCUUCUUAUCACCAAAUCUUAUUUGCCUCUGCAUAUCAUUGCUUAUAAUAAUAAUUGCAUGACCAUUCAUCGAAAUGCAUCGGACUUGUAGCGUCUUUUUCUGUCCUCACUUGCUUAUUUUUUCGAACAACAAUAGAUAUCAUUAGGAAAGGUUCAGUACAAACUAGAAGUCUUAAUACUUGAGGUGGGCAUUUUACCCGAUAUCUGAACCCGAUCCAAAAAACCCGAACCAAAAUCCAAACUGAAUUGGCAAAAUACUCGAACGGGUAUUGAAUUAGGAGAGAUUGGAUAUCUAAACCCGAACGGGUAAUAUCUGAACCCGAAUGGACAUCCGAAGAUAACCGAAGAUAUAUAUUACUAACCUUAUAUUUCUAGUUUAUAUCUCUUAUUUUAAUUAAAAUAUUUAUAUUGAUACUACACAUACUUUAAGUUCAUAUAAUAUACAUAUAAUUACGGAGGAAAUGAUUUGCUACUCACUUAAAAUGCAUGUCAAGUUUUUUGUUUUAAGAAUUAACAAAAGUUACAUCCGAAAUUUAAAAACAAUAACCAAAUUAGUGUUUUUUUAGUUUUAAAAUGUUAUGUCCAAAUUUAUUAAUCAUUCAAUCUAUUAAAAAAAAUCAGUGAAUUGAAAGUUAUAUUUUUAAAUACAAGAAAUUUGAAAAAUGAAAUUUUAAUUUUUUUUCUUUCAAAAUCUAAAUAUCCGAACCCGAACCGAAAUAACUGAAUUCGAACUAAAAAUACCCGAACUCGACCCGAAGUGUAGAAAUACCCGAACAGGUUCUACACCUCUAUACCAAAAUACCCGAAAAUCCGAGAUACCCGAUCCGAACCCGAACGGGUACCCGAACGGGUACCCGAACGGGUACCCGAACGUCCACCCCUAUUCAAUACAGUUGCGCUCUUUGUUAGCGAAUCAGCAACAAUAUUGAACUCUCUACGAAUAAAGGAGAAAUAAACAAGGGAGAAAGUAGAAGAUCGAGAUUCGAUAUCCAUGAAAACUCCGUAGAGCUCUACCAGAUAGAUCUUAGAAUCGAUAGCUCGGAUGAGCUCCUGAGAGUCUGAUCGAAACCAGACGUUGGUAAAGGGAUAUUGGGUGGCUGCAGUCAUUGCUUCUCUAAGCGCCAAUGCUUCCGCCUGUAGAGGAUACCUCACAUUGGGUGUAGUGAUUGCGCCUUUAAUGGAGUAUUGUGGUUCUCCCGCAUCUAGAACCUAGCCUAAACCUGCCUUUGAAGAGACUGGUGACCAAGAAGCAUCAGAGUUGGAGCUUAUUGUGUUCGGCGGAGCCUUAGCAGGAGGAGGUGAUAAGCUGAGAGAUGGACAGGUUGUAGCUAGUAUCCUUGGCUGGGCCUGCUGCCAUUCUCGUGCUCCCCAGAUCGCUAGGAGUGUUGUAUCUGCAGCGGAUGAUGAUUGGUUUUUUAAAAACUAUUUUGUUCCUUGCAAUCCAAAUUUGCCAGCAGAACCAGGAGAUGAAAUCAGUAAGUAGUCUGGUAGAAGGUAGUGCAACAGUACUCGACGUUUGGGAGAGAAACUGGGGAAAGGAUUCAAGAUUUUUGAAAUCCAGGAGGCCCUGAACUGGAGCGUGUGACCACACCUGCAACGCAAAAGGACAUUGGCAAAACAGAUGUACCAUUGAUUCAAUAUCCCUAGUGUGGACAAACAACAGAAGUACAGAUUUCUCGCGAUUGGAGAUUAAUUCCUAAAGGUAACGGGUGCGUUGAUUGAUCUUGGAUUCCAUUAAUGCACAUUAUCUAGACUUGACUUCGUAGGAUCCAGAUUUUGUCUUCUGCCAGCCAUAGGAGUCUUCACUGUUAAGUCGACUAGGCUGAAUUAAGAAGAUAAUAGGGGCUAGUGCUGGAAGGGUAUCCUCCACUCUUUUCCGAUUCCAUUCAUUGGUUCCUCUUAUCAGGAGGUCUGAUACCAUUAAAUCCUGAUCCUUUUUCCUAAUCGGUCCAAAAGGGAUUAGCUAAGUCGAAGAAGAGAUCCAAGAAUCAGACUACAAUAUGUCCUCACUUACUAUAUUGCAAAGAUAUACAUAUAUGCAAAACAUGCAGCUUAUUACUAUUUUGAUUAAAUAAUUCGAGCAAAUCGUACAUAACUCAGGCUACUCAGCUUCAGCUAGGGUAUUCAAUAUUGAAAAUAUUGAUUGUAAAAGUUAUACAGAAGUCUAUGAAUUUUACCAAAGAGAUGGCAAACUAAUAGUAACACAAUGGAGUUGGUACUUUGCAUCCCAUAUUCAAUUUUUGGAAUACAAUAUUUUUUGUAAAAUUGAAAUAUUUUUUGUAAGGAAUACUGAAAAAGUAUGAGAUAAAGA